ACGUAGUCUUUCGGCUCAGGUUUUAACACAGCAAACUUGUGUAGUUUUAUCUAACUUCUGAUUGGAACAGCACGUGUCUUCCAUUUUUAUGAUUCUGCCUACAAGCGCCAAAAUGGUCCGUUUUUUUUCAACAGAUGACCUUCACAACAAUUAUGUGUCGUGACAUCAUACGCACCAUCUACAAAGAACAUACGGUUUGGACACCACUGAUGCCCUUUCUGGACCACUUGAUUUCCAGCACAGUCAUUAUUGGAUGGGUCAUACGACAAAGAACCACAACAUCUAUGACUGUAUUUGUGAGGAAUUAAGGUUUUAUUACAACACAUGUGCUCGCUUGUGUUGUAAAUUUUAUCUCCACACUUACUUUCCCAUAAACUUAUGAUCAACAUAUUUUGAAAGCAAUAUUUUUCUCUGACAUCGUACGUUUCAUUGCCACAGCACGAACUUGUAUGGUGGAAUUUGUGGAGCUUUGAACUACAACACAUCUCCUCUGUGAAUAUGUAUGCAGAGGUGCUACAGCAACCGUAAUGAUCUACAAAAUCAAGACGAAAAAUGUAUAUGUUAACUCUUAAUCCUUAAGUUAAUAGACAUUUGUUUAUAUUAAGUUUGCCUUAUCACCUGGACUUUUGUCUGGAUAAUAUACGCCAUUGCAGCAGAUACUUUUUCUUCCGUUGUAAAUUUUGUCUCUACAACACUUAUGGAUGGAACCAUCGACAUAUCUUGGAUGUAGACUUCCGCCACAACAUAUCUGGUUGUUUACUGAUACCAAAAUGGAAUCCGUUAAUGUAAAUAAAUGUUUUCAUAAAACCUGCACAACAUCCAAUGGAAAUGUCAUUCAUGUUAUUUUGACACACACUAAAAUUGUCCUGACUGCUCCCGGGGUUGUCAUCACCUGAUGCAUCUAAAAUUUAAUUAUUCGUAACUGAAAACCACAAAAUUUUUUAGAAAGAGGAAUAUCUUACAUGUGAAUAAAUGUUAGUUGGUUCAUAUCAAAUAUAUUUCUGCGAUACAAUAACAUGCAGAUAAAAAACUGAUAAGGCAUUAAUGUUUUUGUUUGUAUAAAUAUGUUACCAUUUGAAUUCCUUAAUAUCAAUUAUUUUUAUUAUCAUUGUUUUUAUCAUUAAAUUUUCUUUAGUUCUUUAGAGUUAAAGCGGUUCAUAUUUUGUGUUCUUUGAUCCCAUUUGACCCGAUUCUAAAUUGGACAACUGCUAAAAGAAGUGGAUUAACCAACUCUAAAGUGAUCGAUAUGUAAUUUUUUUGAGGCUCAAAACUUUUUAUUCCGGACAAACUCGAUUAAGAGAUCAAAUGCCUAAGUUUCACCUCACCGGAUUGUGAAACAAAAGAGAAAUGCGACAAAACGCAACAUCGAAUAACGUUAUCGGCUGUUCAACGGAUAUGUUCACUGUCCUAUAUGGGAACGGCGACAACAACAUCUUUAACCUUGUCGUUUUUGGAAUGUGUUUUAAUGUCUCUUUAUUCGUACGAGUCUCCUACCUUUUGUUUUAUAAUACAAGAACGAAAAGAUAUAUGUUUUAAAACUGUUCGUUUCAUUUUUAAAGAGGUAAUUCUAUUUUGUUAGACUAUUUUCUUGUGAAACCAUCAGUCGUAUGUUAUUCAUCACUGUGCCACGCUUUUGAUUUAAGGACGAGAUGCACUCUUUAAAUUAAUGUUUUGUACUUUCGCACAAGCUUGAUGUAUAUGCAGAGCGAAAAUGGAUAUGUCAUUUGAGUGUAUUUGAAAUAUUUUUUUAUGUGAAUGAAAGCAAUUAAAGAUGAAAUUCACGUU
rnacentral:sRNA from 1 species